rnacentral:rRNA from 1 species
GACAGAGGGGGCAAGCGUUGCUCGGAAUUACUGGGCGUAAAGGGCGCGUAGGCGGGAUGGCAAGUCGGUCGUGAAAUCCCUCGGCUCAACCGAGGAACGUCGAUCGAUACUGCUGUUCUUGAGGAUUGCAGAGGAGACUGGAAUUCCCGGUGUAGCGGUGAAAUGGUGUAGAGAUCGGGAGGAACGACCGGUGGCGAAGGCGGCGACCUGGGUCGAUACUGGACGCUGAGGUGCGAAAGCGUGGGAGCAAACAGG